GAGCCGCGAACGGCUGAGUAUAUGGUAAGAAUCUACCUCUUGGUAAAGAAUACCUCACCGAAAGGUGAGCUAAUACUAUAUAAGAUCGUAAGAUGAAAGGACGUAACUGUCCGCCGAGAAAUGAGCUUACUUCCCAUCAGCUUGUUGGUAGGGUAAUGGCCUACCAAGGCUACGACGGGUAGGGGACGUGAGAGCGUGACCCCCCAGAACGGGACUGAGACACGGCCCGUACACCUACGGGUGGCAGCAACUAGGAAUCGUGCGCAAUGGACGAAAGUCUGACGCCGCGACGCCGCGUGAGGGAUGAAGGCCUUCGGGUUGUAAACCUCUUUUGCCAAGCAGUAAAUAGCUUGGAGAAUAAGCACCUGCUAACUCUGUGCCAGCAGCAGCGGUAAGACAGAGGGUGCAAGCGUUAUCCGGAUUUAUUGGGCGUAAAGCGUUUCGUAGGCGAUUUGGUAAGUUACACUUUAAAUACCAGAGCUUAACUUUGGAAAGGGGUGCAAUACUGCCAGAAUAGAAAUAUCUCGGGGUUUACCGGAACUCACGGUGUAGGAGUGAAAUCCGUUGAUAUCGUGAGGAACACCAAGGGCGAAGGCGGGUAACUAGGGAUUUUUUGACGCUGAUGAACGAAAGCUAGGGGAGCGAAAGGGAUUAGAGACCCCUGUAGUCCUAGCUGUAAACUUUGCUCGCUAGGGAUGCGCAAUUUAUUGUGCGUUCCGCAAGCUAACGCGUUAAGCGAGCCGCCUGGGGAGUACGAGCGCAAGCUUAAAACUCAAAGGAAUUGACGGGGAGGCGCACAACCAGUGGAGCAUGUGGUUUAAUUCGAGAGUAACCGAAGAACCUUACCCGGGUUUGACAUGCUACCGUUUUAGUCCACCAGAAAUGGAGGAUGAUUCGUAAGAAAGGUAGCACAGGUGUUGCAUGGCCGUCGUCAGCUCGUGCCGUGGGGUGUUCCCUUCAGUGGGGUAACGAGCGCAACCCCUGCCGUAUGUUGAAUAUUCAUACGGGACUUCCUGAUUUUAUAUCGGGAGGAAGUGGGGACGACGUCAGGUCAGCAUGGCCCUUAUAUCCGGGGCAACACACAUACUACAAUGGAGCCGACAAUGGGUUGCCAAGCGGUAACGCGGAGCUAAUCCCAUCAAACGGCUUCUCAGUGGGGAUUGAGGGCUGCAAUUCGCCCUCAUGAACGCGGAAUUGGUAGUAAUCGGCAAUCAGCUAUGUGCCGGUGAAUACGUUCUCGCCUCUUGUACACACCGCCCGUCAAGUCAGCAAAGUUGGGGGCAGCCGAAC
rnacentral:rRNA from 1 species